AAUUCUUGUAAAUAUAAUCUCAUUUAUAUAAUGAGGUUGUCAUAUGCAUAUUAACAUAUGAAAAUGAGAAAGACUAGGUUUUAAUUCUUGUAAAUAUAUUCUCAUUUAUAUAAUUUUAUAUAAUGAGGUUGUAAAUAUGUAUAUUUACAUAUGAAAAUGAGAAAUACUAGGUUUUAAUUCUUCUAAAUAUAAUCUCAUUUAUAUAAUGAGGUUGUAAAUAUGUAUUUUUACAUAUGAAAAUGAGAAAUACUAGGUUUUAAUUCUUCUAAAUAUAAUCUCAUUUAUAUAAUGACGUUGUAAAUAUGUAUAUUUAUAUAUGAAAAUGAGAAAUACUAGGUUUUAAUUCUUCUAAAUAUAAUCUCAUUUAUAUAAUGAGGUUGUAAAUAUGUAUAUUUACAUAUGAAAAAGUGAAAUACUAGGUUUUAAUUCUUGUAAAUAUAAUCUCAUUUAUAUAAUGAGGUUGUAAAUAUGUAUAUUUACAUAUGAAAGUGAGAAAUACUAAGUUUGAAUUCUUGUAAAUAUAAUCUCAUGUAUAUAAUGAGGUUGUCUUAUGCAUAUUAACAUAUGAAAAUGAGAAAUACUAGGUUUUAAUUCUUGUAAAUAUAAUCUCAUUUAUAUAAUGAGGUUGUAAAUAUGUAUAUUUACAUAUGAAAAUGAGAUAUAUAAUGAGGUUGUAAAUAUGUAUAUUUAAAUAUGAAAAUGAGAAAUACUAGGUUUUAAUUCUUGUAAAUAUAUUCUCAUUUAUAUAAUGAGGUUGUAAAUAUGUAUAUUUAAAUAUGAAAAUGAUAAAUACUAGGUUUUAAUUCUUGUAAAUAUAUUCUCAUUUAUAUAAUGAGGUUGUAAAUAUGUAUAUUUACAUAUGAAAAUGAGAAAUACUAGGUUUUAAUUCUUGUAAAUAUAUUCUCAUUUAUAUAAUGAGGUUUUAAAUAUGUAUAUUUACAUAUGAAAAUGAGAAAUACUAGGUUUUAAUUCUUCUAAAUAUAAUCUCAUUUAUAUAAUGAGGUUGUCAUAUGCAUAUUAACAUAUGAAAAUGAGAAAUAAUAGGUUUGAAUUCUUGUAAAUAUAAUCUCAUUUAUAUAAUGAGGUUGUAAAUAUGUAUAUUUACAUAUGAAAAUGAGAAAUACUAGGUUUUAAUUCUUGUAAAUAUAAUCUCAUUUAUAUAAUGAGGUUGUAUUAAUAUGUAUAUUACAUAUGAAAAUGAGAAAUACUAGGUUUUAAUUCUUGUAAAUAUAAUCUCAUUAUAUAAUGAGUUGUAAAUAUGUAUAUUUACAUAUGAAAUGAGAAAUACUAGGUUUUAAUUCUUGUAAAUAUAAUCUCAUUAUAUAAUGAGGUUGUAAUAUGUAUAUUUACAUAUGAAAAUGAAAAUACUAGGUUUUAAUUCUGUAAAUAUAAUCUCAUUUAUAUAAUGAGGUUGUAAUAUGAUAUUAACUAUGAAAAUGAGAAAACUAAGUUUUAAUUCUUGUAAAUAUAAUCUCAUUUAUAUAAUGAGGUUUAAUAUGUAUAAUACAUAUGAAAAUGAGAAUACUAGGUUUUAAUUCUUGUAAAUAUAAUCUCAUUAUAUAAUGAGGUUAAUAUGUAUAUUUACAUAUGAAAAUGAGAAACUAAGUUUUAAUUCUUGUAAAUAUAAUCUCAUUAUAUAAUGAGGUUGUAUAUGUAUAUUAACAUAUGAAAAUGAGAAACUAGGUUUUAAUUCUUGUAAAUAUAAUCUCAUUUAUAUAAUGAGGUUGUAAUAUGUAUAUUUACAUAUGAAAAUGAGAAAUACUAGGUUUUAAUUCUGUAAAUAUUAUCUCAUUUAUAAAUGAAGUUGUAAUAUGUAUAUUUACAUAUGAAAAUGAGAAAUACUAGGUUUUAAUUCUUGUAAAUAUAAUCUCAUUUAUAUAAUGAGGUUGUAAUUGUAUAUUUACAUAUGAAAAUGAGAAAUACUAGGUUUUAAUUCUUGUAAAUAUAAUCUCAUUUAUAUAAUGAGGUUGAAUAUGUAUAUUUACAUAUGAAAAAUGAGAAAGACUAGGUUUUAAUUCUUGUAAAUAUAAUCUCAUUAUAUAAUGAGGUUGUAAAUUGUAUAUUUACAUAUGAAAAUGAGAAAACUAGGUUUUAAUUCUUGUAAAUAUAAUCUCAUUAUAUAAUGAGGUUGUAAUAUGUAUAUUUACAUAUGAAAAUGAGAAAUACUAGGUUUAAUUCUUGUAAAUAUAAUCUCAUUUAUAUAAUGAGGUUGUAAUAUGUAUAUUUACAUAUGAAAGAGAAAACUAAGUUUUAAUCUUGUAAAUAUAAUCUCAUUUAUAUAAUGAGGUUAUUGUAUAUAUUAACAUAUGAAAAGAGAAAAACUAGGUUUUAAUUCUUGUAAAUAUAAUCUCAUUUAUAUAAUGAGGUUGUUAUAUAUUAACAUAUGAAAAUGAGAAAACUAGGUUUUAAUUUGUAAAUAUAUCUCAUUAUAUAAUGAGGUUGUAAUAUGUAUAUUUACAUAUGAAAAUGAGAAAACUAGGUUUUAAUUCUUGUAAAUAUAAUCUCAUUUAUAUAAUGAGUUGUAAUAUGUAUAUUUACAUAUGAAAAUGAGAAAUACUAGGUUUUAAUUCUUGUAAAUAUAAUCUCAUUAUAUAAUGAGGUUGUAAAUAUGAUAAUUACAUAUGAAAAUGGGAAAUACUAGGUUAAUUCUUGUAAAUAUAAUCUCAUUAUAUAAUGAGUUGUAAUAUGUUUAUUUACAUAUGAAAUAGAAAGACUAAGUUUAAUCUUGUAAAUAUAAUCUCAUUUAUAUAAUGAGGUUGUCAUAUGCAUAUUAACAUAUGAAAAUGAGAAAUACUAGGUUUUAAUUCUUGUAAAUAUAAUCUCAUUUAUAUAAUGAGGUUGUAAAUAUGUAUAUUAACAUAUGAAAACGAGAAAUACUAGGUUUUAUUUCUUAUAAAUAUAAUCUCAUUUAUAUAAUGAGGUUGUAAAUAUGUAUAUUUACAUAUGAAAAUGAGAAAUACUAGGUUUUAAUUCUUGUAAAUAUAAUCUCAUUUGUAUAAUGAGGUUUUAAAUAUGUAUAUUUACAUAUGAAAAUGAGAAAUACUAGGUUUUAAUUCUUGUAAAUAUAAUCUCAUUUAUAUAAUGAGGUUGUCAUAUGCAUAUUCACAUAUGAAAAUGAGAAAUAGUAGGUUUUAAUUCUUGUAAAUAUAAUCUCAUUUAUAUAAUGAGGUUGUAAAUAUUUAUAUUUACAUAUGAAAAUGAAAAAUACUAGGUUUUAAUUCUUCUAAAUAUAUUCUUGUAAAUAUAAUCUCAUUUAUAUAAUGAGGUUGUCAUAUGCAUAUUAACAUAUGAAAAUGAGAAAGACUAGGUUUUAAUUCUUGUAAAUAUAAUCUCAUUUAUAUAAUGAGGUUGUCAUAUGCAAAUUAACAUAUCAAAAUGAGAAAUACUAGGUUUUAAUUCUUGUAAAUAUAAUCUCAUUUAUAUAAGGAGGUUGUCAUAUGCAUAUUAACAUAUGAAAAUGAGAAAGACUAGGUUUUAAUUCUUGUAAAUAUAUUCCCAUUUAUAUAAUGAGGUUGUAAAUAUGUAUAUUAACAUAUGAAAAUGAGAAAUACUAGGUUUUAAUUCUUGUAAAUAUAAUCUCAUUUAUAUAAUGAGGUUGUCAUAUGCAUAUUAACAUAUGAAAAUAAGAAAGACUAGGUUUUAAUUCUUGUAAAUAAUCUCAUUUAUAUAAUGAGUUUGUCAUAUGCAUAUUAACAUUUGAAAAUGAGAAAAACUAGUUUUAAUUCUUGUAAAUAUAAUCUCAUUUAUAUAAUGAGGUUGUAAUAUGUAUAUUACAUAUGAAAAUGAGAAUACUAGGUUUUAAUUCUUGUAAUAAUAAUCUUUAUAUAAAUGAGGUUGUAAUAGUAUAUUUACAUAUGAAAAUGAGAAACUAGUUUUAAUUCUUGUAAAUAUAAUUCUUAUAUAAAUGAGGUUUUAAAUAUGUAUAUUUACAUAUAAAAUGAGAAAGACUAGGUUUUAAUUCUUGUAAAUAUAAUCUCAUUAAUAUAAUGAGUUGUCAUAUGCAUAUUAAUAUAAAAUGAGAAUACUAGGUUUUAAUUCUUGUAAAUAUAAUUCAUUAUAUAAUGAGGUUGUAAAUAUAUAUUUACAUAUGAAAAUGAGAAAACUAGGUUUUAAUUCUUGUAAAAUAUAUCUCAUUAUAUAAUGAGGUUGUAAUAUGUAUAUUUACAUAUGAAAAUGAGAAAACUAGGUUUUAAUUCUUGUAAAUAUAAUCUCAUUAUAAUGAGGUUGUAAUAUGAUAUUACAUAUGAAAAUGAGAAAUACUAGGUUUUAAUUCUUUGAAAUAUAAUCUCAUUUAUAUAAUGAGGUUUAAUAUGAUAUUACAUAUGAAAAUGAAGAAUACUAGGUUUUAAUUCUAAAUAUAUUCUCAUUUAUAUAAUGAGGUUGAUAUAUAUUAACAUAUGAAAUGAGAAAGACUAGUUUUAAUUCUUGUAAAUAUAUCUCAUUUAUAUAAUGAGGUUGUAUGUAUUAACAUAUGAAAUGAGAAAACUAGGUUUUAAUUCUUGUAAAUAUAAUCUCAUUUAUAUAAUGAGGUUGUAAUAUGUAUAUUACAUAUGAAAUGAGAAGACUAGGUUUUAAUUCUUGUAAAUAUAAUCUCAUUUAUAUAAUGAGUUGUCAUAUGCAUAUUAACAUUGAAAAGAGAAAACUAGUUUUAAUUCUUGUAAAUAUAAUCUCAUUUAUAUAAUGAGGUUGUUAUGAUUUAUUACAUAUGAAAAUGAGAAAUAUAGGUUUUAAUUCUUGUAAAUAUAAUCUCAUUUAUAUAAUGAGGUUGUAUAUGAUAUUACAAUAUGAAAAUGAGAAAACAGGUUUAAUUCUUGUAAAUAAUCUCUUAUAUAAUGAGGUUGUAAUAUGUAUAUUUACAUAUGAAAAUGAGAAACUAGGUUUUAAUUCUUGUAAAUUAAUCUCAUUUAUAUAAUGAGGUAUAUAUAUUACAUAUGAAAAUGAGAAAGACUAGGUUUUAAUUCUUGUAAAUAUAAUCUCAUUUAUAUAAUGAGGUUGUAAUAUGUAUAUUUACAUAUGAAAAUGAGAAAGACUAGGUUUAUUCUUGUAAAUAUAAUCUCAUUAUAUAAUGAGGUUGUAAUAUGCAUAUUAACAUAUGAAAAUGAGAAAGACUAGGUUUUAUUCUUGUAAUAAAUCUCUUUAUAUAAUGAGGUUGUAAUAUGUAUAUUUACAUAUGAAAAUGAGAAAACUAGGUUUUAAUUCUUGUAAAUAUAAUCUCUUAUAUAUGAGGUUGUAAAUAUGUAUAUUAACAUAUGAAAAUGAGAAAUACUAGGUUUAAUUCUUGUAAAUAUAAUCUCAUUAUAUAUAUGAGGUGUAAUAUGUAUAUUUACAUAUGAAAUGAAAACUAUGUUUAAUUCUUGUAAAUAUAAUCUCUUAUAUAAUGGGUUGUAAUAUGUAUAUUAACAUAUGAAAAUGAGAAAUACUAGGUUUAUUCGGUAAAUAUAAUCUCUUAUAUAAUGAGGUUUUAAAUAUGUAUAUUUACAUAUAAAAAUGAGAAAACUAGGUUUAAUUCUUGUAAAUAUAAUCUCAUUUAUAUAAUGAGGUUGUAUAUGAUAUUAACAUAUGAAAAUGAGAAAUACUAGGUUUAAUUCUUGUAAUAUAAUCUCAUUUUAUAAUGAGGUUUAUAGAGUAUAUUACAUAUGAAAAUGAGAAAGAUAGGUUUUAAUUCUUGUAAAUAUAAUCUAUAUUAUAUAAUGAGGUUGUAAAUAUGUAUUAUACAUAUGAAAAUGAGAAAGACUAGGUUUAUUCUUGUAAUAUAAUCUCAUUUAUAUAAUGAGGUUGUAUGUGCAUAUUAACAUAUGAAAAUGAGAAAUACUAGGUUUUAAUUCUUGUAAAUAUAAUCUCAUUAUAUAAUGAGGUUUAAUAUGUAUAUUUACAUAUAAAAUGAGAAAGUAGGUUUAUAAUUCUGUAACAUUAAUCCAUUUAUAUAAUGAGGUUGUAAAUAUGUAUAUUUACAUAUGAAAAUGAGAAAUACUAGGUUUUAAUUCUUGUAAAUAUAAUCUCAUUUAUAUAAUGAGGUUGUAAAUAUGUAUAUUUACAUAUGAAAAAGUGAAAUACUAGGUUUUAAUUCUUGUAAAUAUAAUCUCAUUUAAAUAAUGAGGUUGUAAAUAUGUAUAUUUACAUAUGAAAGUGAGAAAUACUAGGUUUUAAUUCUUGUAAAUAUAAUCUCAUGUAUAUAAUGAGGUUGUCUUAUGCAUAUUAACAUAUGAAAAUGAGAAAUACUUGGUUUUAAUUCUUGUAAAUAUAAUCUCAUGUAUAUAAUGAGGUUGUAAAUAUGUAUAUUUACAUAUGAAAAUG
rnacentral:lncRNA from 1 species